rnacentral:misc_RNA from 1 species
CCUCACCUCGCCAGGAGCCCACGUCCUAGAUGUUUUUUUUUACUCCUCUAGCCGCACAUGUCAUCUCAUGACCUCAUGGCUCGUAGCAACCAGGAAAACAUAAUCUUAACAAACUCCAUCAAUUUCGCCGGAUGUUGCAACGACGGGCUAUUGUGGCCAAUGAGAGCGCUCCGGAUAUAAAAGCCUCUGCCGUGCUGGCCGGGAACCAUAAUCGUGUUCUGGUUCCCAGAAAAAAAAAGACAGGGAAGGGAGCUCCGUCGCUUGGGGAGAGAAGACUGAGAUCGUGAUUUUCCUGCGUCAGGCUUUGGUGGGGACCUGGUGAUGUUCGCCAGAGCCUUCUGAACCGAGACAUAGCAUCUUCACGCCGGUCUAGCGGUCGGGAGGGUGGAAUUCAUUGCCGUGGUUCUCUGCCAUCACAAAUCCGCCCCUCGACAAGCAAGCUGUCCGCUCGGGCGUCUGGAUGAUUGAUGCAGCCUGGUGCAUCGUGGUGGCAUGUGGAGUCUGCUCAGCGCCCAGUAAACCAGGGGGCCUGGACGACGACUCCAUGGACGAACUGUGCAGCUGCGGCAAUGGAGGGCCACCGCUCCCUCUCCUCCUCAGUCUGCGCCCACCCACCGCUAUGGGAUCUGGUCGCGCCUCCUCUGGUGCACAGCCGCCCUAUUGUCGCCGCCGCGGGGCUCUACUGGCGGCCAUCGUCACCCAUCGGCCAUGCCGUAGCGAGCUCGUUGCCGAGCGAGGCUACGAGUCAUCUGAAGAUCAUCCUGGUACCUGGAAUCUCAAGUCCCAGGUCAAGAACAG